rnacentral:rRNA from 1 species
GACGAACGCUGGCGGCGUGCCUAAUACAUGCAAGUCGAGCGGACCAAAGGGAGCUUGCUCCUGGAGGUUAGCGGCGAACGGGUGAGUAACACGUGGGCAACCUGCCUGUAAGACUGGGAUAACAUCGAGAAAUCGGUGCUAAUACCGGAUAAUAAAAAGAACUGCAUGGUUCUUUUUUGAAAGAUGGUUUCGGCUAUCACUUACAGAUGGGCCCGCGGCGCAUUAGCUAGUUGGUGAGGUAACGGCUCACCAAGGCAACGAUGCGUAGCCGACCUGAGAGGGUGAUCGGCCACACUGGGACUGAGACACGGCCCAGACUCCUACGGGAGGCAGCAGUAGGGAAUCUUCGCAAUGGACGAAAGUCUGACGGAGCAACGCCGCGUGAGUGAUGAAGGUUUUCGGAUCGUAAAACUCUGUUGUUAGGAAGAACAAGUGCCGUUCGAAAGGGCGGCACCUUGACGGUACCUAACGAGAAAGCCACGGCUAACUACGUGCCAGCAGCCGCGGUAAAGUC